rnacentral:rRNA from 1 species
GGUUAAGCGACUAAGCGUACACGGUGGAUGCCCUGGCAGUCAGAGGCGAUGAAGGACGUGCUAAUCUGCGAUAAGCGUCGGUAAGGUGAUAUGAACCGUUAUAACCGGCGAUUUCCGAAUGGGGAAACCCAGUGUGAUUCGUCACACUAUCAUUAACUGAAUCCAUAGGUUAAUGAGGCGAACCGGGGGAACUGAAACAUCUAAGUACCCCGAGGAAAAGAAAUCAACCGAGAUUCCCCCAGUAGCGGCGAGCGAACGGGGAGCAGCCCAGAGCCUGAAUCAGUGUGUGUGUUAGUGGAAGCGUCUGGAAAGGCGCGCGAUACAGGGUGACAGCCCCGUACACAAAAAUGCACAUGCUGUGAGCUCGAUGAGUAGGGCGGGACACGUGGUAUCCUGUCUGAAUAUGGGGGGACCAUCCUCCAAGGCUAAAUACUCCUGACUGACCGAUAGUGAACCAGUACCGUGAGGGAAAGGCGAAAAGAACCCCGGCGAGGGGAGUGAAAAAGAACCUGAAACCGUGUACGUACAAGCAGUGGGAGCACGCUUAGGCGUGUGACUGCGUACCUUUUGUAUAAUGGGUCAGCGACUUAUAUUCUGUAGCAAGGUUAACCGAAUAGGGGAGCCGAAGGGAAACCGAGUCUUAACUGGGCGUUAAGUUGCAGGGUAUAGACCCGAAACCCGGUGAUCUAGCCAUGGGCAGGUUGAAGGUUGGGUAACACUAACUGGAGGACCGAACCGACUAAUGUUGAAAAAUUAGCGGAUGACUUGUGGCUGGGGGUGAAAGGCCAAUCAAACCGGGAGAUAGCUGGUUCUCCCCGAAAGCUAUUUAGGUAGCGCCUCGUGAAUUCAUCUCCGGGGGUAGAGCACUGUUUCGGCAAGGGGGUCAUCCCGACUUACCAACCCGAUGCAAACUGCGAAUACCGGAGAAUGUUAUCACGGGAGACACACGGCGGGUGCUAACGUCCGUCGUGAAGAGGGAAACAACCCAGACCGCCAGCUAAGGUCCCAAAGUCAUGGUUAAGUGGGAAACGAUGUGGGAAGGCCCAGACAGCCAGGAUGUUGGCUUAGAAGCAGCCAUCAUUUAAAGAAAGCGUAAUAGCUCACUGGUCGAGUCGGCCUGCGCGGAAGAUGUAACGGGGCUAAACCAUGCACCGAAGCUGCGGCAGCGACACUAUGUGUUGUUGGGUAGGGGAGCGUUCUGUAAGCCUGUGAAGGUGUACUGUGAGGUAUGCUGGAGGUAUCAGAAGUGCGAAUGCUGACAUAAGUAACGAUAAAGCGGGUGAAAAGCCCGCUCGCCGGAAGACCAAGGGUUCCUGUCCAACGUUAAUCGGGGCAGGGUGAGUCGACCCCUAAGGCGAGGCCGAAAGGCGUAGUCGAUGGGAAACAGGUUAAUAUUCCUGUACUUGGUGUUACUGCGAAGGGGGGACGGAGAAGGCUAUGUUGGCCGGGCGACGGUUGUCCCGGUUUAAGCGUGUAGGCUGGUUUUCCAGGCAAAUCCGGAAAAUCAAGGCUGAGGCGUGAUGACGAGGCACUACGGUGCUGAAGCAACAAAUGCCCUGCUUCCAGGAAAAGCCUCUAAGCAUCAGGUAACAUCAAAUCGUACCCCAAACCGACACAGGUGGUCAGGUAGAGAAUACCAAGGCGCUUGAGAGAACUCGGGUGAAGGAACUAGGCAAAAUGGUGCCGUAACUUCGGGAGAAGGCACGCUGAUAUGUAGGUGAAGUCCCUCGCGGAUGGAGCUGAAAUCAGUCGAAGAUACCAGCUGGCUGCAACUGUUUAUUAAAAACACAGCACUGUGCAAACACGAAAGUGGACGUAUACGGUGUGACGCCUGCCCGGUGCCGGAAGGUUAAUUGAUGGGGUCAGCGCAAGCGAAGCUCUUGAUCGAAGCCCCGGUAAACGGCGGCCGUAACUAUAACGGUCCUAAGGUAGCGAAAUUCCUUGUCGGGUAAGUUCCGACCUGCACGAAUGGCGUAAUGAUGGCCAGGCUGUCUCCACCCGAGACUCAGUGAAAUUGAACUCGCUGUGAAGAUGCAGUGUACCCGCGGCAAGACGGAAAGACCCCGUGAACCUUUACUAUAGCUUGACACUGAACAUUGAGCCUUGAUGUGUAGGAUAGGUGGGAGGCUUUGAAGUGUGGACGCCAGUCUGCAUGGAGCCGACCUUGAAAUACCACCCUUUAAUGUUUGAUGUUCUAACGUGGACCCGUAAUCCGGGUUGCGGACAGUGUCUGGUGGGUAGUUUGACUGGGGCGGUCUCCUCCUAAAGAGUAACGGAGGAGCACGAAGGUUGGCUAAUCCUGGUCGGACAUCAGGAGGUUAGUGCAAUGGCAUAAGCCAGCUUGACUGCGAGCGUGACGGCGCGAGCAGGUGCGAAAGCAGGUCAUAGUGAUCCGGUGGUUCUGAAUGGAAGGGCCAUCGCUCAACGGAUAAAAGGUACUCCGGGGAUAACAGGCUGAUACCGCCCAAGAGUUCAUAUCGACGGCGGUGUUUGGCACCUCGAUGUCGGCUCAUCACAUCCUGGGGCUGAAGUAGGUCCCAAGGGUAUGGCUGUUCGCCAUUUAAAGUGGUACGCGAGCUGGGUUUAGAACGUCGUGAGACAGUUCGGUCCCUAUCUGCCGUGGGCGCUGGAGAAUUGAGGGGGGCUGCUCCUAGUACGAGAGGACCGGAGUGGACGCAUCACUGGUGUUCGGGUUGUCAUGCCAAUGGCACUGCCCGGUAGCUAAAUGCGGAAGAGAUAAGUGCUGAAAGCAUCUAAGCACGAAACUUGCCCCGAGAUGAGUUCUCCCUGACCCUUUAAGGGUCCUGAAGGAACGUUGAAGACGACGACGUUGAUAGGCCGGGUGUGUAAGCGCAGCGAUGCGUUGAGCUAACCGGUACUAAUGAACCGUGAGGCUUAACCUU